UCCGCACUCAGUACAUGAAAUCUUAGUCUUCUUGUUCCCCCCACACACACCCCGCUAGUGCCGGGGUGCCGCCUCCCGCCCCUGGCCAUGACAUUCGGCACACUCCAUUCCUAGCACAAGACUCACAUCCGAGCCAUUCUCAUCCUCCUGCAGUGAGGCCCUGCCGUCGCCAGGCCUUCCAUUCGCGGUCACCUUGUGGGCGAGGCCCCUGGGCCCCGGGCUGGGGGAGGGGACCACCCCGUUGUGUGACACCUCGUGCUGUUCUGUCCCCAAACCUGUUCCCCCGGCCGUACCUGCCAGAGUGUGCCUACAUUCCCGAUAUCCCACUGGAAAGUGAGCUGCUAGGACGUAGACGGCAUCCGUUCCGUCGCCGAGUGCCGAGUGGGCGGCGACUUGAGGGAAGAAAGCCCGGGAGGGAGACGCCGGGCGACCGCGAAGGGAGAGGUCAAAAUGCCCUGGCUGCUGUUUUCCCUGUUCCCGUGGCCCACUGGAAAAAGAAGCUGAAAUACAGGAUGUAGGUUGUCUAAUGGACCUGGAACGACGGAGGAAGCUGGACUUAGGAUCCAUUUCUGCCUGUCUCCAAAGCCCUGCCUAUACCAAACAUCAGGCCACAGCCCUGUCUCCGUGCUGACUGCCUUUCUGCACUUCCUGCCAGCCACCCUCAUGUCUGGGCUUCUGGGUUUGUGUUCUUUGUCUGGGGCUGUUGAUGGACCACCAGGAGGUCCCUGGGUAUCCUGUCAGUGUUUCCCAGCCACUAGAGGAUGACUUGGGAUGGCAUCCCAGGUUCUGACACGUACUUAGAAAAUUCUGCACAGGCAGCAGCAGGUAGACACCGAUGUUGAAAUGAAUUGUUUCUAAGCUGACGGCCAAGAAGGAAUUCUUGAAAAGAUUUUGGUGCAAAAAAAAAAAAAAAGGUGGUUUUGUUAAAGCAUGGGAACAGGACCUGUAGGCAGAAAGCACUGCACUGAGAUUAUGAAGACUGACUACUAGAAGGUUUUCCAUCCUGUAGAGGGGAGGGUGACCUUAAGGCUCCAGGAAAUUGAGCCUAUAGGUUCCUGGAGGUCCAUUGUUAAACAUGGUGUUUUUCUUGUAAAUCAUUAAGACAGUUAGAAACUGGGCGCCUUGGUGGCUCAGUUGUUUGAGUGCCUGGCUCUUGAUUUUGGCUCAGGUCAUGAUGCCAGGGUCAUGGGAUUGAUCCCUGCCUCGGGGUGCUGGCUGAGCAUGGAGCCUGCUUAAGAUUCUCUCUCCCUCUGACCCUGUCCCCUGCUCACUCUCUCUUUCUUAAAAAACAAACAAACAAAAAAGACAGUUACAAACUCUAGUGGAAGUUUCAUACCCAACAUGACUGUAAAUGAUGUUAUCUGCAUUUCCUUUUGCUUUUGUUUUCCACAUCAACUAUUUCUUUUCUCCCUGCCUCUGUUCUCAGGCAGUCACCAGUACCUGAGGAAUAGUCUACACAUCUCACCCUAACUGGGGGAUGUUUGUAGUGUGUCUGCUCAAGUGUAACUCCUCUCGCAUUCUGUACAACGCAGUUUCCCAGAGUCUAGAUUAGAAAAGUGAAUACAGUGGGGGCCUGGGUGGGUCAGUUGAUUAAGUGUCUAACUUCAGCCUAGGUCAUGAUCUUGCUGUUCCCGAGUUUGAGCCCCAUGUCCAGUUCUGUGCUGACAGCUCAGAGUCUGGAGCCUAUUUCAGAUUCUGUGUCUUCCUCUCUCUCUGCCCCUCCCCAACUCAUGUUCAGUUUCUCUCUCUCAAAAGUAAAUAAACAUUAAAAAAAUGAAUGCAGGUGCAACAGAAAUUAGCAUUAAGCUUUUUACCCCCCUCUUUUGUUUUUUUGUUUUUUGUUUUUUGCUUCAGCUAUACAGUUUCUUGCAAGGUAAGAAAGAAAUGCAAAGCCGUGUCAGGACAUAGGUUGUCAUGUGUUUUUGUCUUGAGCAAUGUAAAGUUAAAUUGCUUACCUAAGAUAUUUUACAUGAGGGAAAGUUACACAUAGAAUAUCAGCCAUCAUGUUAAAUAAAAUAUGAGAUAGGACUAAAUAACAUUUUACAGAGACCUGGUUUACUCUUUAGAAGAAAAACACACUUCUACAAUGUAGAGAAUAAUGACAUGCAGGAGGUUUUCCCAGCUGUUCACCUUUUACCUUGCACUGAACCUGUAUUACAUCAUUUUGCUUUAAAAAAAUGGAAAUGGACUAGGUUAGGUAAUUAUUAAUUGGCAACAUGAUACUGAUAUAAAACUGCUUUUGGCCAGAGAUACGAUAAUGGUCAAUUUUGGCAACCUAGAUAAAGGGAGAAGUUAUUAUGUCACCUUCCCAAAAUCAUUGUGCCAAUCUGUGUUCAGCUCACGAUCUCAAGUAUUUAAAACUUCCGUUUCUAUAAAUAUGAAUAGAAUAACCUUUUAAAAUAGGGUACAAAGUAUAAAUCCAUUUUUUUCUAAUUCAGCAAGCACAUGGGAUAUUCUCACUUCUUUUCAGAAAACUACCUGUAGACACACAGAUAGACACGGGGCACCAAGUUUGAAUGCUACCGGAACAAUUUCCUCACAAAUUAACAUUUUACCAAAUACUAAUAUACAUAAUGUCAAAAGAGGAAGUGCACACUGCUGAAAUCAAAACCGUUUUUAAAACGCAAAUUAUCAGUGUGGUACAUUAUUUUGAACAAAGGAGAAACUGGCAAUAUAUGAAGUUGUGUGCUGUUAGAAGGCCUGUCCCCUUGCUUAAAACAAAUGAGAGAAAGUGACUUUGGAAGCCUGUUAGAUGUAUGUGAAACUUUAAAAGAACUUAGAAAUACACUUUCUGAAUUUGGAAAAAAAGGUAAGGUACUGGAAUACUUCCGUUUGGGGUGUAAAUAAAAUUUUGGAAUUUCAAA